rnacentral:rRNA from 1 species
CCUACGGGCGGCAGCAGUGAGGAAUAUUGGUCAAUGGACGAGAGUCUGAACCAGCCAAGUAGCGUGAAGGAUGACUGCCCUAUGGGUUGUAAACUUCUUUUAUAUGGGAAUAAAAUGUUCCACGUGUGGGAUUUUGUAUGUACCAUAUGAAUAAGGAUCGGCUAACUCCGUGCCAGCAGCCGCGGUAAUACGGAGGAUCCGAGCGUUAUCCGGAUUUAUUGGGUUUAAAGGGAGCGUAGGUGGAUUGUUAAGUCAGUUGUGAAAGUUUGCGGCUCAACCGUAACAUUGCAGUUGAAACUGGCAGUCUUGAGUACAGUAGAGGUGGGCGGAAGUCGUGGUGUAGCGGUGAAAUGCUUAGAUAUCACGAAGAACUCCGAUUGCGAAGGCAGUUCACUGGACUGCAACUGACACUGAGGCUCGAAAGUGUGGGUAUCAAACAGGAUUAGAUACCCGUGUAGUC